ACGCACGCUGGCGGCGUGCUUAACACAUGCAAGUCGAACGGAAAGGCCCUGCUUUUGUGGGGUGCUCGAGUGGCGAACGGGUGAGUAACACGUGAGUAACCUGCCCUUGACUUUGGGAUAACUUCAGGAAACUGGGGCUAAUACCGGAUAGGAGCUCCUGCUACAUGGUGGGGGUUGGAAAGUUUCGGCGGUUGGGGAUGGACUCGCGGCUUAUCAGCUUGUUGGUGGGGUAGUGGCUUACCAAGGCUUUGACGGGUAGCCGGCCUGAGAGGGUGACCGGCCACAUUGGGACUGAGAUACGGCCCAGACUCCUACGGGAGGCAGCAGUGGGGAAUAUUGCACAAUGGGCGGAAGCCUGAUGCAGCAACGCCGCGUGCGGGAUGACGGCCUUCGGGUUGUAAACCGCUUUCGCCUGUGACGAAGCGUGAGUGACGGUAAUGGGUAAAGAAGCACCGGCUAACUACGUG
rnacentral:rRNA from 1 species